AGUGAACGCUGGCGGUAGGCCUAACACAUGCAAGUCGAACGGCAGCACAGUAAGAGCUUGCUCUUACGGGUGGCGAGUGGCGGACGGGUGAGGAAUACAUCGGAAUCUACUUUUUCGUGGGGGAUAACGUAGGGAAACUUACGCUAAUACCGCAUACGACCUACGGGUGAAAGCAGGGGAUCUUCGGACCUUGCGCGAUUGAAUGAGCCGAUGUCGGAUUGGCUAGUUGGCGGGGUAAAGGCCCACCAAGGCGACGAUCCGUAGCUGGUCUGAGAGGAUGAUCAGCGACACUGGAACUGAGACACGGUCCAGACUCCUACGGGAGGCAGCAGUGGGGAAUAUUGGGCAAUGGGCGCAAGCCUGAUCCAGCCAUACCGCGUGGGUGAAGAAGGCCUUCGGGUUGUAAAGCCCUUUUGUUGGGAAAGAAAAGCAGCAGGUUAAUACCCCGCUGUUCUGACGGUACCCAAAGAAUAAGCACCGGCUAACUUCGUG
rnacentral:rRNA from 1 species